AGAUUUACAACUGAUUAUUUAUGGUCAGAUCUUAGAUGAUUUCAUCUUCUUCUUGACAUCUCUACCGAUGGAACAUUGGGUAAUCAUGUUCUCCUUCUUCUGUUCUUGACAGUCCCGAUAACGAAGAGGAGCUUAAAAAGCUCGAUGAGAAGAUUGCAGAUGCAUAAGAAAAUUUGGGUGAAAGUGAAGUACGUGAAGGCUUCACGGUGAAGCUCAUCUUGCUAAGGCUCUGUAUUUCAUCAGGAUCAGUGAUAAGGAGAAAGCUUUGGAGCAGCUAAAACUCACGGGGGAAAACUGUCGCUGUGGGGCAAAAGAUGGACUUGGUAUUCUAUACAUUGCAACUUGCUUUCUUCUCUAUGGACUUCGAUCUGGUAUCAAAGACCAUUGACAAAGCAAAAAAACUAUAUAUGAUCAGUCUGCAGUCUGCAGUCACUUAUUGUAGACAAUCUAAGACCAGCACCAUUGUAGCAAAUAGAAGAUGGAGAUUUCACAAGAGACUGAGGAAGAAAAGCCUUUCCAGGUCUGUUUUAUUGACUACUAAUUCCUUGCUACCGAUGAUGGUUUGCUCACAUAUCUUUUGAUUGAGCUUUGGUUAGCUGGCUUAUAUUGUUUUUUCUAUCGGUGCUUUGAAAGAUAAUUAAAAAAAAAUAUUUAGUAAUUAGUAAAUACUAACUAGAUAUUAG